rnacentral:rRNA from 1 species
AUUGAACGCUGGCGGCAUGCCUUACACAUGCAAGUCGAACGGCAGCGGACCUUCGGGUGCCGGCGAGUGGCGAACGGGUGAGUAAAGCAUCGGAACGUACCCGGAAGUGGGGGAUAACGUAGCGAAAGUUACGCUAAUACCGCAUAUUCUGUGAGCAGGAAAGAGGGGGAUCUUCGGACCUCUCGCUUUCGGAGCGGCCGAUGUCAGAUUAGCUAGUUGGUGAGGUAAAGGCUCACCAAGGCGACGAUCUGUAGCGGGUCUGAGAGGAUGAUCCGCCACACUGGGACUGAGACACGGCCCAGACUCCUACGGGAGGCAGCAGUGGGGAAUUUUGGACAAUGGGCGCAAGCCUGAUCCAGCCAUGCCGCGUGAGUGAAGAAGGCCUUCGGGUUGUAAAGCUCUUUCGGCCGGGAAGAAAUCGGGGUGGCUAAUAUCUGCCCUGGAUGACGGUACCGGAAUAAGAAGCACCGGCUAACUACGUGCCAGCAGCCGCCGUAAAAC